rnacentral:rRNA from 1 species
AGUAACACGUGGGUAACCUGCCCAUCAGAGGGGGAUAACAUUCGGAAACGGAUGUUAAAACCGCAUAGGUCCUUUAACCGCAUGGUUGAAGGAGGAAAAGAGGCGCAAGCUUCUGCUGAUGGAUGGACCCGCGGUGCAUUAGCUAGUUGGUGAGGUAACGGCUCACCAAGGCCGUGAUGCAUAGCCGACCUGAGAGGGUGAUCGGCCACAUUGGGACUGAGACACGGCCCAA